AAUGUUUGCUCCACUUUUUCAUCAGUCCCACAGACCAGCCGGCCAGACAGGCCUCAGACAAGUCAAGAUGAGGCUGGGAUUGCAGGUUCUGCUUCUGUAAGCCGACCUCCUGUAAGGCGCCCAUCACAGGGCUCGGGCCACUUACCCAGGAGGCCAAGUAAGACACGGCGUCUUGGCACGGAAUCUGCGGCUCCAUCUUCCCCACCCAGGCGGCGCAUUUCUGCAGUGUCACCCCAGCCACCACUGGCACUAUUGGCGAGUUCACAGAGUGAUGAGCCCCGAUCACCUCAGUUAUC